UUUUAGAGUGUUCUGGAAAAGUAAGAAUUGAUUAAGAUUUCAUCAGAAGGAGGAAAAACAUGGAUCUGGAAAACCCACGGAUGAAGAGAACAAGGUCCAGUUUGAAAGCGAUUAAGUAGCGGGAAUGUAACUGCACAGUCAGCGCUGGUCGCUUGAGCAAAUUUUCUGCAUAAAGACGGCUUCACGGAAGACCUCGAGAUAUCCCACCUCCAUAGUUAGGUGCUUUGGUCAGAUUCCGCUGAGCCAAUCAUUAUUUCGUAUAGCGCCUUGAAAUACUGCCAUUCAUCCCACUGGAAUACAGGGUGCUGAACUCAAGGCUGGCACGUUGGUCACUUCCCAACUCUAAACUGGCACAGCAUGACCGAGUGUUGAUGAGUAUAUGGCAACCAAUGUUCUGGCACCUUCUCCAGUGUUGAUUUCUGUCUUGCACUCAAUGCUGCUGGGAUAGGCUGCAGCUCCAAUGGGCCUGAAGAAGACUGAGCAAGUUUGAAAAUGAAAGGGGGUUCUAAAUUAUUUCGGGUGGCACAAUCAGUAAGGUCUCAUGAACAUCAUUUGAAAGUCAGACUGUGCACUGUAAGAUGGUGAUGUAGUGCUCUGAAUUUCCAGUAGGUGGUACCAUUAUUAAAGUAACGAAAAACCAAAAAAGUCAACUUAUUUUCCUUUAAUGAGAUGGCUUAUUCAGCCGUGCUGGGAAUACGCCUGGUGAGUGCAAUCGACUCCACCCCUUCCAGUGCCUCCACUACAUAUCCAUCCCGAGGCUCCCAGAAGAAGGCAAAACUCAUUACAAGAACACACUGCAGGAUGGAGUUCCUUCCCAAAAUGAUGUUAGCAGGCAUUGUUAGCCAAGAAAGAUUUGUGAAUCAAGGACUCUGAUAUUUGCUUGUUUUGGUGCCAUCAAGCACAUCUUUUGUUUUUUUCCGUUUGCAUCAAUUAAACGGUGGACAACCAUGUUAGCACCCCAAUGUUUUAGCGUUCGUUCCAUCAACCACAGAGUCUAUGUCUAAUCUGCUCUGUGUUAAUGGACAUGCUUGGGUUUAAUUUCAUCCAUAUAAUCCAGACCUGCUUUAUCUAGUUUCAGUUGGGGGAUCCAACCCUAUUAUGACAACAUAAGGUGUAAGUCAUGACUCAGCUCAGGAUGGACUACCGGGCUGUCACAGCCCACAUUCUCUUACAGUUAA